AGCAGCCGCGGUAAUUCCAGCUCCAAUAGCGUAUAUUAAAGUUGUUGCAGUUAAAAGCUCGUAGUUGAAUUUCGGGAUCAGUUGGUCGGUCGUGCCUCGGUACGUACUGGUCAAAUUUGAUUCCUACCUUCUGACGAACCACGAUGUCAUUAAUUUGGUGUCGCGGGAAAUCAGGACUGUUACUUUGAAAAAUUGAGUGUUUAAAGCAGGCUCGCGCCUGAAUACAUUAGCAUGGAAUAAUGAAAUAGGACGUUUGAUUCUAUUUUGUUGGUUUCUAGGAUCGACGUAAUGAUUAAUAGGGAUAGUUGGGGGCAUUAGUAUUCAAUUGUCAGAGGUGAAAUUCUUGGAUUUAUUGAAGACUAACUACUGCGAAAGCAUUUGCCAAGGAUGUUUUCAUUAAUCAAGAACGAAAGUUAGGGAUACGGAAGACGAUCAGAUACCGUGUAGUCUUAACCAUAAACUAU
rnacentral:misc_RNA from 1 species